GGGGGGUUAUUACUAGUAUGUAUAAUUGCUCAGUCAUACGACUUAGUUAGGGCGAUCUGUAGUGCAAUUCACUCACUUUUAACGAUACGAUUUGUCGAGGUCUAAUAUAACGGUUUUUGUGGUUUGCAGUAACGUGUGUUUAUUCGGUAACUCUUUUUUAACGACACUAAACAGCUGACAUUUUCUUUUUAUUUCAGUAAAAGGAAGGUGGCAUCUCAACUUAACGAAACGUCAAAAAAUGCGAAAAGCACAAAGAAGAAUGACGAAAAACAAACAAAUUCCUUGCUUGCAAAGUGGUAUACACAUAGUUUUCUGAAUAUUUUAAUAUACUUUUACAAAAAAAUGGCUUCGUCAGUACCCAGUGUUCAAAAGAGAAGCCGGACCACAGCAGAACAACUAAGUCGCAUGGUUUUGUGUACACUACGCUUCUAUGCCACAGGAUGCUACCAACGGCCUGUAGGGGAACAGUGGGGCAUAUCAAUGAGCCAAUCAUCUAUAAGCCGUUGUAUACAUCGCGUAACUGAUGCCAUAAACAGUGGACUAUUUUUUGAGGAGGUUAAGUUCCCUAUGACGCAGGUGGACCGUCAAGCUGCCAAGGAAGUGUUUGCUUCAGCACCUGCGCCUUUCGUUGGAGGAACUAUUGGAGCGGUAGACUGCACGCAUGUUUCUAUUUUGGGUCCUAAAACUCAUGAGGAAGCAUACGUGAACCAUCAUGGCUAUCACUCGAUAAAUGUUCAAAUGAAAAUAGUACGAAAGGACAGCAACCAUGGACCGAGGAAAGUGUUGUAUUGUAACAAUACGAAAAGUAUCUAAGGUAUUCAUCCCAAUCGUCCUUAUUAAUGGAUAUGUAGGAACGCACAUAUUCAUUGAAUGUUCUAUGACUGUGUUCAACCGUGCCUAAAGUUUGAUGAUGAUUUAGGAAAUGGUCCAACUGUAUCGGUCUGUACUAUAUCAACAACUUUUGGCGGUGUCUCCGUUAUUGUCAUUGGUUCUUUCAGGUGUGUAUUGAUUUUAUUUUUCUUACAGUUAAUGCAUUUCCUGAUAUAUUUUUUAAUAUAAUUAUUCAUAUUUUUCCAGUAAUAUUUUUGUUUUAUUUUGAUGGUCGUACGAUUGAUUCCUGGGUGACCACAUUUAACAGGAUCUUCGUGAUAUUUGUGAAGAAUAUUUUUAAUUUUUUCAAUAUUUGUCACAUGCAUAACCUCCGGAGUUAAUGCAAUAGUUAAGUUUUUUAGAACUUUGGAACCUAUUUCUUUAAAUUUAUCUACUUGAGUAUAAUUAAACAAUUUGUCUCCUAAGGACAAAGGUAUUUUUACUAGUCCUAAAUUGCCGGCAUUUUUCAUAAGCCAGGUAAAGAAUUGUCCUAAGUAAAUUUCACCUCAACAAUUAGGUUGCUUGUAUCUAUUUCGCUAAAAAUUUUCUUUCCUUUUUGAAACAUAGUUUCGGAGGAUCAAAAACGAGCUCGACAUUUCUUUUGACUUCAUAUUUAUUAAGCGCUUCAUAUAUUAUAGGGAUCUCAUUGUGACUUUUCUUUUCUUCUUUGUUAAUAUUACUACUGAUUGUUUGCUUAGUUUCCGAUCUUUUCGCAACUUUCGUUAUUUUGCAUGCUUCUACUGUCAUAUCCUUAAGAUUUUUGAUAUCUAUGCGCAAUAGUGCAACUCUACGUAAUUUACUUUUCCAGCUAUAUACUCCACCUCAAAGUCAUAUUCUUCCAAAUCUAAUCUAACUAGUUAAUUUGGAGGAGGUUUUUCAUUGAAAAAAGGAAGGUUAAAAGUCGAUAGUCAGUUUUAAUUAAAAAAUUUCUGCCAUAAACCUAUGGUCUAAAAUAUGUAAUGGCCCAGUGAAUUGCUGCCAAUUAAUUUUCAAUUGUUGCUUUAUUAAUUUCACCUUUUCUUUCUUUUCGCCUUCAUAUUCUUGACUAAGUACUGCGCCGCAGGCAUAGCCGCUGGCGUCUGUUGUGAUACAAAAUUCUUUAUAAAAGUCCGGAUAUUGUAGGAUAAUUGGACAAGUUAAUGCUUUUUCAAAUAAAUAAAAGCUCUUUGACAUUCUUCUGUUCAAUUGAAGGAUACAUUCUUUUUACAAAGUCUUGUUAAAAUUUUAGAGUAUUCUGCGAAAUUUGGUACAAAUCUUCGGUAAUAGUUACAGAAUGCAACAAAUUGUUUGACUUCGUCGGCAGUUUUGGGAGUUGGGUAGUUUUGAAUAAUUUCGAAUUUAUUUGGAUCUGGCAAAAUUCCUUUGCUUGCGCAUUUAUGUCCAAGAUAAGUGACUUCUUGACUAAAAAAUAAACAUUUAUCAGGAUGUAACUUCAAAUUAUAUUUUCUGCAAGUUGAAAAUACAUCCCGCAGAUUUUUCAUCAUAUGCUUUUAGGAGCAUCCAAAGCUGUAAACACAUAAAGGGCUUGUGGUGUGUGGCAUGCAGCCUGUCAAAAUAAAAUGUGUGUAAACCAUGAUACAAAAAAGAAGGUAGUUUCAAUAAACAACUUUUGACGG